AAGAGAUCGGGUAGUAGCUGAGUGAAGUUUUGUAAUGGCUAAGCCGGAAACGUUGAAAAAACUAAGGUUGGAACGUUAGUAAAUACGAAUGGUCAAUUUUUUAACAUGAACUUACGCAAUAGAUACCAAAAUAACUCCAGAAAUAACAUAGAGUGCAGGGACUUCAUUAAAUCGAGAUAUAACGUGUGAAUAGUCAAACCACCCGUGGUAUCCAGCAGUAGUAGAACCGAUAAAAUAGUAAGAAA